rnacentral:rRNA from 1 species
UAGGGAAUCUUCGGCAAUGGGGGCAACCCUGACCGAGCAACGCCGCGUGAGUGAAGAAGGUUUUCGGAUCGUAAAGCUCUGUUGUAAGUCAAGAACGAGUGUGAGAGUGGAAAGUUCACACUGUGACGGUAGCUUACCAGAAAGGGACGGCUAACUACGUGCCAGCAGCCGCGGUAAUACGUAGGUCCCGAGCGUUGUCCGGAUUUUUUUUGGGCGUAAAGCGAGCGCAGGCGGUUUGAUAAGUCUGAAGUUAAAGGCUGUGGCUCAACCAUAUUUCGCUUUGGAAACUGUCAAACUUGAGUGCAGAAGGGGAGAGUGGAAUUCCAUGUGUAGCGGUGAAAUGCGUAGAUAUAUGGAGGAACACCGGUGGCGAAAGCGGCUCUCUGGUCUGUAACUGACGCUGAGGCUCGAAAGCGUGGGGAGCGAACAGGAUUAGAUACCCUGGUAGUCCACGCCGUAAACGAUGAGUGCUAGGUGUUGGAUCCUUUCCGGGAUUCAGUGCCGCAGCUAACGCAUUAAGCACUCCGCCUGGGGAGUACGACCGCAAGGUUG